rnacentral:sRNA from 1 species
GGAUGACAUGCAAAUUCGUGAAGUGUUCCAUAUUUUUGGUCAAGGGUAUAUGAGUAGCUGCGCUCCCCUGCUAGAACCUCUAAACAAGCUCUCAAGGUCCAUUUGUAGGAGAACGUAGGGUAGUCAAGCUUCCAAGACUCCAGACAUAUCCAAAUGAGGCGCUGCACGUGGCAGUCUGUCUUUUUUU